UAGCAAAAUGCUACAUUUCUAGCUAGGGCACUAGACACAGUUACACGCUAUCUAAUUUGAUUCCAGGAAUGUGUCAUUAGUAGUCAGCUUUCUAAUCAAGUCCCACUUUGGCUGAUGUACGUACAAGCAAACUUCAAUCACAGACUGAAAGGAUUUACUUAUUUGUUAAAUGUCAGACUUUGUUUGAAAAACCUGUGCUGGAUUCUGCUUCCUCAUGACAUUCAUUUGCUAACUAGCUCUGUGUGCUGUGCUCCAAAGGUACACAAAUGACGUUAGUAAUAUUUAUGCUCCAAAAUGUGUCUUAAAUUUCAAAACUUCUCUAUGAAAACAAACUAAAACACAGACGCAAGUCUAAACAGUUGCCCUCACGUUUGUUCUCGUAGCUAUGUGAUGCUGUUUGUUGUUUUUCUACUCAGCACUUUUUUUUAUUUAUUUAUCCGAUGAGUUAAGAUUCAUUCUUCUGUUUGUUUUCUUCAGCAAGGUUUGAUUUGUGUCAUAAAAGAGGCGGAACGUCGGCUUUGUUAAACAUUUGAAACAUCC